UAAAUUAUAAUUUUAGUUAAUGUAGAAUAAUUAUUAAAAAUUAUAAUUUGGUAGUGAUAUAUUAUUCGAUUUAAAUGAUAUCUAGUUUUUUUUUAAAUGAAUUUAAUUCAUUAUUUAAAUUUAAUAAAGACAUUUAUUUGUCAAUUUAUUUUUAUUUAAAUAUAAUAAUUUUUGGGAUAAGCUGAAGGUUAAAAUUUAAUAAUGAUUAUUUUAAUAUAAUUAAAAUAUUUAUAAGAAUAGAAAUUUUUAAUGAGUAUGUUAUUAUUUAUAUUAUAAUUAAAUUUAAUUUUAAAUAAAGUUUUAAAAUUUUUAAAAAAAAAAUAUUUAAUGAUAUUAGUUAUUUUAUAAUGAUAUCAUUAGUAAAUAUUAAUAUGUGAAAGUUAUUAAUUUUAUUAGAAUUAAUAUUAAAGAAUUCGACAAAGAUUUUAUCCACCCGUUUAUCAAAAACAUGGUUUGUAGAUUUUAAUUAUAAAUCGGUUCUGCCCAUUGAAUUAAGAAUUUUAACGGCUGCAGUAUAUUGACUGUACAAAGGUAGCAUAAUCAUUUGUUUUUUAAGUGAAAACUUGAAUGAAAGAAAUAAUGAGAUAAAAAUUGUUUCAAUAUUAAUAGUUGAAAUUAUACUUUAAGUUAAAAUACUUAGAUUAAUUUAUUAGACGAGAAGACCCUAUAGAAUUUUAUAAUAUUUAUUGUAAGUAUUUUUUAUGUAAAUUUAUUUAUUUAUAAUAAUUAUAUUUAAUUGGGAGGAUUAUUAAAUUUA
rnacentral:rRNA from 1 species